CGGGUGCACUGAUCCAGCCGGGCCUUUCCCUCUGUGGAACCCCAUGGCCUUCACUGGCUGUGGUGGGGAAACAGGACUUUUACUUUGAAAAAAUUAGAGUGCUCCAGGCAGGCCUAUGCUCGAAUACAUUAGCAUGGAAUAAUAGAAUAGGACGUGUGGUUCUAUUUUGUUGGUUUCUAGGACCGCCGUAAUGAUUAAUAGGGACAGUCGGGGGCAUCAGUAUUCAAUUGUCAGAGGUGAAAUUCUUGGAUCUAUUGAAGACUAACUACUGCGAAAGCAUUUGCCAAGGAUGUUUUCAUUGAUAAGGAACGAAAGUUAGAGGAUCGAAGACGAUCAGAUACCGUCGUAGUCUUAACUAUAAACUAUGCCGACUAGGGAUCGGACGAUGUUAUUCUUUGACGCGUUCGGCACCUUUCGAGAAAUCAAAGUGCUUGGGCUCCAGGGGGAGUAUGGUCGCAAGGCUGAAACUUAAAGAAAUUGACGGAAGGGCACCACCAGGGGUGGAACCUGCGGCUUAAUUUGACUCAACACGGGGAAACUCACCAGGUCCAGACACAGUGAGGAUUGACAGAUUGAGAGCUCUUUCUUGAUUCUGUGGGUGGUGGUGCAUGGCCGUUCUUAGUUGGUGGAGUGAUUUGUCUGCUUAAUUGCGAUAACGAACGAGACCUUAACCUGCUAAAUAGCCCGUACUGCUUUGGCAGUUCGCCGGCUUCUUAGAGGGACUAUCGG
rnacentral:rRNA from 1 species